AGGACCUAGAAAUCCACUCAUUACAGAUGCAAGGACAACAAGAGCCCUUGGAAGAGCUGGCUGCAGCUCCAGCUCUACUUCCUACUGCCAAUUCUCCUAUGAUUUGAAGACACGAUUUGCCAUUUUGGAGACAGGGAUGCACAGCCUGCCAGAGAGGCCAUGUACUGCAGCUGCAACUAGCACACAGCAGGUCAAGAACACUAGUACAGGGCGGAGGAAACAGGUGUUAUCAACUACUUUCCUUGCUGUGCCCACAGCUUCCGUUUUGGCCUGCUUCUGUCAUCCCACUGAAAUGGAUGCUUGCUGACAUUCGCAACCAGUCCACACAGAGCUCCUGCCUAUUUACCACCUCGUAAAAAGACAGAAAAUAGGUAUUGAUAUUCCAAAUGAAUUAGAGUGAUGGUGCAAGGAAACUGAAAUCCUUCACCAAUACACAGCCCAGGUACAACACGAGGAACCGCAGUGUGAGGCCUCCCACCAGUAGGCCUUAAGCAUGACAUGAAGGGACCGUUUCUUGGGGGGACAGGUUAGUUUAGUCUCUAUGGCUUUUUCAAUCCUUGGCCUCUUGGCUGCACCUGUUAGU